AAAAUAAUAAGUUAAAAAAACUAUUACUCUUCAAAAGUGAAAAUGGGAAUUAUUUCUCUUAUUUUA
rnacentral:tRNA from 1 species